rnacentral:rRNA from 1 species
AGAGAGAGACAUGCGCGCAUAUCAUAAGCGGAGGAAAAGAAACUAACUAGGAUUCCCUCAGUAACGGCGAGUGAAGCGGGAAGAGCUCAAAUUUGAAAUCUUCAAGGUUCUACCUUGACGAAUUGUAGUUUAAAGAAGUGUUUUCUGUUGGAGUUUUGGUAAAAGUUCUUUGGAAUAGGACAUCAUAGAGGGUGAGAAUCCCGUAUUUGACCAUUAUUUCCAGCUUUGUGAUACACUUUCAAAGAGUCGGAUUGUUUGGGGAUGCAGUCCAAAAUGGGUGGUAAAUUUCAUCUAAAGCUAAAUAUUGGCGAGAGACCGAUAGCGAACAAGUACCGUGAGGGAAAGAUGAAAAGAACUUUGAAAAGAGAGUUAAACAGUACGUGAAAUUGUCAAAAGGGAAGCGUUUGACACCAGUGUUGUUUUCUCGAAAAUCAAUUAAAAAAGGCAGGAUUUUGUGUUGUAUUGACUUUAUCAGCUUUCUGCACUCUUUUCUUGUCUUUUUUAAUGCACUUUUCGUUUAACAAGUCAACAUCAAUUUCUUUUGUUGUAAAAGGGUCAUUGGAAGGUGGCUUUCUUUUCGGAGAAAGUGUUUAUAGCCUUUGGCCUCUGCAAUCGGAGAGAUUGAGGUCUGCAGCGUAGAUCCUUCGGGGUUAGAUACAUUUGUGCUAAGUUAUAGCCUUUCAUAGACAACUUGUUGACUAUGAUCAGUCAUGUAGCUUACUCGCUUAUGCUAUUUUACCUACGCUUAGGAUGUUGAUGUGAUACUGCGAGCA